GGACUACUGGGGUUUCUAAUCCUGUUUGCUCCCCACGCUUUCGCACCUCAGCGUCAGUAUUGGCCCAGGUCUCCGCCUUCGCCACUGGUGUUCCUCCCGAUAUCUACGAAUUUCACCUCUACACCGGGAAUUCCGAGACCCUCUUCCAUACUCAAGCUCGCCAGUUUCGUAUGCACUUCCGGGGUUGAGCCCCGGGCUUUCACAUUCGACUUAACGAGCCGCCUACGCGCGCUUUACGCCCAAUGAUUCCGAGCAACGUUUGCACCCUCCGUAUUACCGCGGCUGCUGGCAC
rnacentral:rRNA from 1 species